GAUGAACGCUAGCGACAGGCUUAACACAUGCAAGUCGAGGGGCAGCGGGGAGGUAGCAAUACUUCCGCCGGCGACCGGCGCACGGGUGAGUAACACGUAUGGAACCUGCCCGUAGCAGGGGGAUAAGCGGAAGAAAUUCCGUCUAAUACCGCGUAAUAACUCCGAGGGGCAUCCCUUGGGGUUUAAAGGGUGACACCGGCUACGGAUGGCCAUGCGGCGCAUUAGCUAGUUGGCGGGGUAACGGCCCACCAAGGCGACGAUGCGUAGGGGUUCUGAGAGGAAGGUCCCCCACACUGGUACUGAGACACGGACCAGACUCCUACGGGAGGCAGCAGUGAGGAAUAUUGGUCAAUGGGCGCGAGCCUGAACCAGCCAAGUCGCGUGAGGGAAGACGGUCCUAUGGAUUGUAAACCUCUUUUGUCGGGGAGCAAAAGACGCCACGUGUGGCGUUCCGAGAGUACCCGAAGAAAAAGCAUCGGCUAACUCCGUGCCAGCAGCCGCGGUAAUACGGAGGAUGCGAGCGUUAUCCGGAUUUAUUGGGUUUAAAGGGUGCGCAGGCGGAAGAUCAAGUCAGCGGUAAAAUUGAGAGGCUCAACCUCUUCGAGCCGUUGAAACUGGUUUUCUUGAGUGAGCGAGAAGUAUGCGGAAUGCGUGGUGUAGCGGUGAAAUGCAUAGAUAUCACGCAGAACUCCGAUUGCGAAGGCAGCAUACCGGCGCUCAACUGACGCUCAUGCACGAAAGUGUGGGUAUCGAACAGGAUUAGAUACCCUGGUAGUCCACACAGUAAACGAUGAAUACUAAUUGUUCGGGGAGAAUGAUCCCUGAGUGAUACAGCGAAAGCGUUAAGUAUUCCACCUGGGGAGUACGCCGGCAACGGUGAAACUCAAAGGAAUUGACGGGGGCCCGCACAAGCGGAGGAACAUGUGGUUUAAUUCGAUGAUACGCGAGGAACCUUACCCGGGCUCAAACGACACAGGAAUACUUUUGAAAGGAGGUAGCUCUUAGGAGUCUGUGUCGAGGUGCUGCAUGGUUGUCGUCAGCUCGUGCCGUGAGGUGUCGGCUUAAGUGCCCAUAACGAGCGCAACCCCCAUCGCCAGUUACCAGCAAGUCAAGUUGGGGACUCUGGCGAGACUGCCGGCGCAAGCUGUGAGGAAGGCGGGGAUGACGUCAAAUCAGCACGGCCCUUACGUCCGGGGCGACACACGUGUUACAAUGGCAGGUACAGAGAGAAGCAAUGCGGCGACGCAAAGCGGAACUUGAAAGCCUGUCUCAGUUCGGAUUGGAGUCUGCAACUCGACUCCAUGAAGCUGGAUUCGCUAGUAAUCGCGCAUCAGCCAUGGCGCGGUGAAUACGUUCCCGGGCCUUGUACACACCGCCCGUCAAGCCAUGGAAGCCGGGAGUGCCUGAAGUGUGCAACCGCAAGGAGCGCCCUAAGGUAAAACUGGUGACUGGGGC
rnacentral:rRNA from 1 species